rnacentral:rRNA from 1 species
AGACCCGAAACCCGGUGAUCUAGCCAUGGGCAGGUUGAAGGUUGGGUAACACUAACUGGAGGACCGAACCGACUAAUGUUGAAAAAUUAGCGGAUGACCUGUGGCUGGGGGUGAAAGGCCAAUCAAACCGGGAGAUAGCUGGUUCUCCCCGAAAGCUAUUUAGGUAGCGCCUCGUGAAUUCAUCUCCGGGGGUAGAGCACUGUUUCGGCUAGGGGGCCAUCCCGGCUUACCAACCCGAUGCAAACUGCGAAUACCGGAGAAUGUUAUCACGGGAGACACACGGCGGGUGCUAACGUCCGUCGUGAAGAGGGAAACAACCCAGACCGCCAGCUAAGGUCCCAAAGUCAUGGUUAAGUGGGAAACGAUGUGGGAAGGCCCAGACAGCCAGGAUGUUGGCUUAGAAGCAGCCAUCAUUUAAAGAAAGCGUAAUAGCUCACUGGUCGAGUCGGCCUGCGCGGAAGAUGUAACGGGGCUAAACCAUGCACCGAAGCUGCGGCAGCGAACGUAUCACCCAAGACAACUUUACGGAGUUGACGAUUGACGGAGCGAAGCGACGUCAAAGCGUUCAUUAAAGUCGAGUUGGCUUAGGGAUACGUUCGUUGGGUAGGGGAGCGUUCUGUAAGCCUGCGAAGGUGGCCUGUGAGGGUUGCUGGAGGUAUCAGAAGUGCGAAUGCUGACAUAAGUAACGAUAAAGCGGGUGAAAAG